GAUGAAGAACGUAGCGAAAUGCGAUACGUAAUGUGAAUUGCAGAAUUCAGUGAAUCAUCGAAUCUUUGAACGCAUAUUGCGCUCUCUGGUAUUCCGGAGAGCAUGCUUGUUUGAGUAUCAGUAAACACCUCAACUCCCUUUUCUUUUUUGAAAUUGGAGCUGGACUUGAGUGAUCCCAACACUUUCUUCCAAGAAAGUGGCGGGUUGCUUGAAAUGCAGGUGCAGCUGAACUUUUCUCUGAGCUAUAAGCAUAUCUAUUUAGUCUGCCUAAAAAACAGAUUAUUACCUUUGCUGCAGCUAACAUAAAGGAGACUAGUUCUUGUGCUGACUGAUGCAGGAUUCACAGAGACAGCUUCGGCUGACUUUGUAAACUCGAUCUCAAAUCAAGUAAGACUACCCGCUGAACUUAAGCAUAUCAAUAAGCGGAGGA
rnacentral:misc_RNA from 1 species